GACGAACGCUGGCGGCGUGCUUAACACAUGCAAGUCGAACGGAAAGGCCCUCUUUCCGUUGUGUAUUCGAGUGGCUAAAGUGUGAGUAACAUGAGUGUCACCUGCCUUUGCCUCUCGCAUCAUUUCUGUAAACCUGGGCUAAUACCUGUUAGUAGCGCCUGCUGCAUGGUGUGGGUUCGAUAGUUUCGGCGGUUGGGGAUGGAGUCGCGGCUUAUCUGCUUGUUGGUGGGGUAGUGGCUUACCAAGGCGUUGACGGGUAGCCGGCCUGGGAGGGUGGCCGGCCACAUUGGGAAGGAGAUACGGCCAAGAAGCCUACGGGAGGCAGCAGUGAGGAAUAUUGCACAAUGGGAGGAAGCCUGAGUCAGCAACGCCGCGUGCGGGAUGACGGCCUUCGUGUUGUAAACCGCUUUCGCCCGUGACGAAGCGUGAGUGACGGUAAUGGGUAAAGAAGCACCGGCUAACUACGUG
rnacentral:rRNA from 1 species